UGUUUUGAGUGCAGAGCCUUUCCAGGACUU
rnacentral:piRNA from 1 species